GAUGAAGAACGCAGCGAAAUGCGAUAAGUAGUGUGAAUUGCAGAAUUCAGUGAAUCAUCGAAUCUUUGAACGCACAUUGCGCCCUUUGGUAUUCCUUAGGGCAUGCCUGUUCGAGCGUCAUUUAAACCUUCAAGCUAAGCUUGGUGUUGGGUGACUGUCCGCUUCACUGCGGACUCGCCUCAAAAUUAUUGGCGGCCGGUACAUUGGCUUCGAGCGCAGCAGAAACGCGAACUCGGGCCCGUCGUAUUGGCUCCCAGAAGCUAUCUUCACAAUUUUGACCUCGGAUCAGGUAGGGAUACCCGCUGAACUUAAGCAUACAAUAAGCGGAGGA
rnacentral:misc_RNA from 1 species